AUGAUCCUUGGGUCACUGGAUAUUCAGUUUUUACUGCACCUUCAAGAGACAUUCUCCAGGUUCAUUCACAUCAAAUAUAUAGUCAUUAUUUACUUCCUGGGAAUGAAAAUGGUGGGUGAGCUGCUACGAAUGUCGGGUGCCUUUUUCAUGCGGCGUACCUUUGGUGGCAAUAAACUCUACUGGGCUGUAUUCUCUGAAUAUGUAAAAACUAUGUUAAGGAAUGGUUAUGCUCCUGUUGAAUUUUUCCUUGAAGGGACAAGAAGCCGCUCUGCCAAGACAUUGACUCCUAAAUUUGGUCUUCUGAAUAUUGUGAUGGAGCCAUUUUUUAAAAGAGAAGUUUUUGAUACCUACUUUGUUCCAAUUAGUAUCAGUUAUGAUAAGAUAUUGGAAGAAACUCUUUAUGUGUAUGAGCUUCUAGGGAUUCCUAAGCCAAAAGAAUCUACAAGUGGGCUGUUGAAAGCUAGAAAGAUUCUCUCUGAAAAUUUUGGAAGCAUCUAUGUAUACUUUGGAGACCCCGUGUCACUUCGAUCUCUGGCAGCUGGCAGGAUGAGUCGGAGCCCGUAUAACUUGGUUCCAAGAUACAUUCCUCAGAAACAAUCUGCGGACAUUCAUGCCUUUGUCACUGAGGUUGCCUACAAAAUGCAGCUUCUGCAAAUUGAGAACCUGGUUCUAAGCCCCUGGACCCUAAUAGUUGCUGUUCUACUUCAGAACCGGCCAUCCAUGGACUUUGAUGCUCUGGUUGAAAAGACUUUAUGGCUGAAAGGCUUAACCCAGGUGUUCGGAGGGUUUCUCAGUUGGCCCGAUAACACACCUGCUGAAGAAGUUGUCCAGUCCAACAUUCUUCUGCAUUCCAACAUUGCCAGCAUUGUCAGAGACCAGGUGAUUCUGAGAGUGGACUCCGGAGACUCAGAAGUGGUUGAUGGACUUAUUUUCCAGCACAUCACUCUCCUCAUGUGCUCAGCCUAUAGGAACCAGCUGCUCAACAUUUUUGUCCGUCCUUCCUUAGUAGCUGUAGCAUUGCAGAUGACACCUCGGUUCAGGAAAGAGGAUGUCUACAGUUGCUUUCAUUUCCUACGCGAUGUUUUUUCAGAUGAGUUCAUCUUCCUUCCAGGAAACACACUAAAGGACUUUGAAGAAGGCUGUUACCUGCUUUGUAAAUGUGAGGCCAUACAAGUGACUACGAAGGACAUCCUAAUUACAGAGAAAAGAAAUACUGUGUUAGAAUUUUUAACAGGACUCUUUAAGCCUUUUGUGGAAUGUUAUCAGAUAGUUUGCAAAUACCUCUUGAGUGAAGAAGAGGCCGCUUCAGUGAGAAACAGUACUUGGUUGCAGUCAGAAAAUUUACAAGCCAACUUCUUGAUCAAGGUGCCUCUCAGUGUUAUGAUGUAUUAUCUUCUGAUGUGCAGAAAAAUGCCUUAGCAGCUUUUGUGAGGCUUGGUGUGGUGGAGAAAACAAUGAUUUUGAUUUAUUCGAUUAUGCUAUGCAGCCACAAGAAAAAAAGUUAA